rnacentral:rRNA from 1 species
UACGUAUGUGGCAAGCGUUGUCCGGAAUUAUUGGGCGUAAAGCGCGCGCAGGCGGUCCUUUAAGUCUGAUGUGAAAGCCCACGGCUCAACCGUGGAGGGUCAUUGGAAACUGGGGGACUUGAGUGCAGAAGAGGAAAGCGGAAUUCCACGUGUAGCGGUGAAAUGCGUAGUGAUGUGGAGGAACACCAGUGGCGAAGGCGGCUUUCUGGUCUGUAACUGACGCUGAGGCGCGAAAGCGUGGGGAGCAAACAGG